GUGAAUCAUCGAAUCUUUGAACGCAAAUUGCACUUUCUGGUAUUCCGGAAAGUAUGCCUGUUUGAGGGUCAGUUAAAUAAAAAUCGGUGUUGUUGCUUCCUUUCGUUGUUACGCUUCGGAUUUGAUUCGUUUUACCUUCGGUUAAGCUUCGUAAAAUUUUUGCAUGGUUUUCGAACGUAUUUUAAUCGUUUACUUACGUUUGAGAUAUCGAAUGCUUAUUAGGUUCGGUCAUCCUCAUGACGCGCGCGUAUGAUUUUUUCGUUAAAUGACCGCA
rnacentral:misc_RNA from 1 species